GGCCCCUUAGCUCAGUGGUUAGAGCAAUCGACUCAUAAUCGUUCGGUCGCUGGUUCAAAUCCAGCAGGGGCCA
rnacentral:tRNA from 1 species